AGUGAACGCUGGCGGUAGGCCUAACACAUGCAAGUCGAACGGCAGCACAGUAAGAGCUUGCUCUUACGGGUGGCGAGUGGCGGACGGGUGAGGAAUACAUCGGAAUCUACUUUUUCGUGGGGGAGAGCGUAGGGAAACUUACGCUAAUACCGCAUACGACCUACGGGUGAAAGCAGGGGAUCUUCGGACCUUGCGCGAUUGAAUGAGCCGAUGUCGGAUUAGCUAGUUGGCGGGGUAAAGGCCCACCAAGGCGACGAUCCGUAGCUGGUCUGAGAGGAUGAUCAGCCACACUGGAACUGAGACACGGUCCAGACUCCUACGGGAGGCAGCAGUGGGGAAUAUUGGACAAUGGGCGCAAGCCUGAUCCAGCCAUACCGCGUGGGUGAAGAAGGCCUUCGGGUUGUAAAGCCCUUUUGUUGGGAAAGAAAAGCAGCAGGUUAAUACCCCGCUGUUCUGACGGUACCCAAAGAAUAAGCACCGGCUAACUUCGUG
rnacentral:rRNA from 1 species